rnacentral:rRNA from 1 species
GAUGAACGCUGGCGGCGUGCCUAAUACAUGCAAGUCGAGCGAACAGAUGAGGAGCUUGCUCCUCUGACGUUAGCGGCGGACGGGUGAGUAACACGCGGAUAACCUACCUAUAAGACUGGGAUAACUUCGGGAAACCGGAGCUAAUACCGGAUAAUAUAUUGAACUGCAUGGUUCAAUAGUGAAAGACGGUUUUGCUGUCAUUUAUAGAUGGAUCCGCGCCGCAUUAGCUAGUUGGUAAGGUAACGGCUUACCAAGGCAACGAUGCGUAGCCGACCUGAGAGGGUGAUCGGCCACACUGGAACUGAGACACGGUCCAGACUCCUACGGGAGGCAGCAGUAGGGAAUCUUCCGCAAUGGGCGAAAGCCUGACGGAGCAACGCCGAGUGAGUGAUGAAGGUCUUCGGAUCGUAAAACUCUGUUAUUAGGGAAGAACAAAUGUGUAAGUAACUAUGCACGUCUUGACGGUACCUAAUCAGAAAGCCACGGCUAACUACGUG